rnacentral:rRNA from 1 species
AGUGAACGCUGGCGGCGUGCUUAACACAUGCAAGUCGAACGAGAACGGACUAAAGCUUGCUUUAGUUGUCAGCUAAGUGGCGCACGGGUGAGUAAUGUAUAGGUAAUAUGCCUCUUAGUAAGGGAUAACAAGCGGAAACGCUUGCUAAUACCUUAUAUGCCUUUUAAACACAAGUUUGUAAAGGGAAAGAUUUAUCGCUAAGAGAUUGGCCUGUAUGGUAUCAGCUUGUUGGUGGGGUAAAGGCCUACCAAGGCUAUGACGCCUAACUGGUUUGAGAGGAUGAUCAGUCACACUGGAACUGAGACACGGUCCAGACUCCUACGGGAGGCAGCAGUGGGGAAUAUUGCGCAAUGGGCGAAAGCCUGACGCAGCAACGCCGCGUGGAGGAUGACACUUUUCGGAGCGUAAACUCCUUUUAUAUAGGAAGAUAAUGACGGUACUAUAUGAAUAAGCACCGGCUAACUCCGUGCCAGCAGCCGCGGUAAUACGGAGGGUGCAAGCGUUACUCGGAAUCACUGGGCGUAAAGAGCGUGUAGGCGGAUAAGUAAGUUUGAAGUGAAAUCCUAUGGCUCAACCAUAGAACUGCUUUGAAAACUGCUUAUCUAGAGUAUGGGAGAGGCAGAUGGAAUUUCUGGUGUAGGGGUAAAAUCCGUAGAUAUCAGAAGGAAUACCGAUUGCGAAGGCGAUCUGCUGGAACAUUACUGACGCUAAGACGCGAAAGCGUGGGGAGCAAACAGGAUUAGAUACCCUGGUAGUCCACGCCCUAAACGAUGCACACUAGUUGUUGUGAGGCUUUGUCCUUGCAGUAAUGCAGCUAACGCAGUAAGUGUGCCGCCUGGGGAGUACGGUCGCAAGAUUAAAACUCAAAGGAAUAGACGGGGACCCGCACAAGCGGUGGAGCAUGUGGUUUAAUUCGAAGAUACGCGAAGAACCUUACCUGGUCUUGACAUAGGAAGAACUUAUUAGAGAUAAUUUGGUGCUAGCUUGCUAGAACUUCCAUACAGGUGCUGCACGGCUGUCGUCAGCUCGUGUCGUGAGAUGUUGGGUUAAGUCCCGCAACGAGCGCAACCCUCGUUCUUAGUUGCUAACACUUCGGGUGAGAAACUCUAAGAAGACUGCCUUCGUAAGGAGGAGGAAGGUGAGGACGACGUCGAAGUCAUCAUGGCCCUUACGACCGAGGGCUACGCGCGUGCUACAAUGGGGUAUACGAAAAAGCGAGCGAUACCGCGAGGUGGAGCGAAUCUUUAAAAUACCUCCCAGUUUCGGAUUGUAGUCUGCAACUCGAACUACGUGAAGUUGGAAUCGCUAGUAAUCGUAAAUCAGCAAUGUUACGGUGAAUACGUUCCCGGGUCU